AGCUUGCACUCACCUGGUCCAUCGUAUGCAUUAAUGCAGUCGGACGUCCGAAAUUGCUGGAUCAACGCCUGUUUGCCAACGCCAGAUGCGCCGAGCAUUUCUACGCGAAACACCUCGACAGGUUGUUGUUGUUGCGGCUCAUCCUGUGCACCCGUGUAAUCGCCAUUAAUGCCACCACCAACACUGCCGCCAAUGCCACCACCGCCACCCAGGCGCGGGUGUAUGGGGCUCACCGGUGCCAAACUGUUGCUGCGCGAACGUCGACGCCGAAACGAAUCGCCGCGGUUGAUGACACCUUUAUUUGUAUUUGUAUGGAAUACGAAAGUAAGAAGAGAAGUGGAAAGUCAAGUUAUAGCUUGGGUUUAAAAAGUUUGAUGCAAAUUAUGUUCAAGUCCAUAUAUGCCGAAUUUUUAAGAUUUCAAAUGCAGCCUUUCGAAGUCACUUAAAGUCGGAACUGUGUUGCAACAACUGCCACAAAUCAACAUGCGAACGCAACCGCAGCCAAGUCCACACGCAAUGCAACACACAGACAAGCACACCUGCACACCUGCCUAGUAUUUGUCAACAAGCGUUGAACUUUGCACCAAAUCCACAAACAGGAGAAUUUUCACUGAAUUAACGCCAUGUGGCACGAAUGCGUUGCAAGAAAUGGCAGGCGAAGAAAGAAAGCAUGCAAGGUACCACUUUCAUUUGCAGGCAAAUGUUGAGCAAUAUCCAACCGAAGUACACGCACCAUAUAAGGCUGCCUGGGAGAUUACAGUCGAAGGCAUGAUGAAUCACAUGCAUGUCUCUGUGUGUGUGUGUGUGUAUUGUUGCAUAUGUGAAGUUGACAAGUGUGGCAACCUCACGAAAUAUGAGUCCGGAAAAGGAAAUCGCUGGAAAUCGGAACAAGUGCGAUAUGCAAAUCAACCGAUAUGCAAGUGGCAUCGCAAGGGAGAGUAAGACGUGUGGAGAUACCGAACGGAAGAAGGCGUGCAAAUCGUGAUUAGAAUGAUUUGAAAGUGCGUUUAACGCAACCAACUGUGAAACUCCGCGAAAAGAGGCGUCAUAGUCCGCCUAAAUGAUUCGCCUUUCCAUACCACAACAAAGAUUUCGCCUGCCAAAGCGUAGAAGUAAGGGAAACAAAUAACGAAUUUGCGGAAAUGGAAGGGGAGAUCGAAGAUUGGAGAAAGGCAGCAGUACUACUUCGAGUAAGUUAGUAUAAGCGCGUAGUUACAGCAGCUAGACGACUACAGGUAUUUAAAGGUGUAUAAGAACAACAAAAAAACCAAAACUAACAAAGUGAAAAUACAAAAUACUAACAGAAAGCCGAAAUAUUAACGCAGCACGACAAAAUCAACGAGCUAAUGAAGUGUGUUAAAAGCGGAAUGAAGCGCGUUUUAGUAGUGAAAUAGUGAAAACAACAACAAAAAAGUGAGUUAAAAAAAAUUGUGUGCUCAAACUGUGCGGCAAAAGUGUUGACAGCGUUCGAAAAUUAGUGAAAAAUGCUGAAAACGGAAAUAGAGGUAAAGGAAAAUGGUAAAUUAGUGGGCUGGAAAAAUUUGAAUAAAUUUAAAAAAAUAUUAAAAUGAAAUAUUUAUGAUAAAUAUUACUAAGCACUUAGAA